UACAGAGGGUGCAAGCGUUAAUCGGAUUUACUGGGCGUAAAGGGCGCGUAGGCGGUUAUUUAAGUUUGAUGUGAAAGCCCUGGGCUUAACCUAGGAACUGCAUUGAAUACUGGGUAACUGGAGUAUUGUAGAGGGUAGUGGAAUUUCCGGUGUAGCGGUGAAAUGCGUAGAGAUCGGAAGGAACACCAGUGGCGAAGGCGGCUACCUGGACAAAUACUGACGCUGAGGCGCGAGAGCGUGGGGAGCAAACAGG
rnacentral:rRNA from 1 species